CUGAAGUGAUUUGGGGAUGUUGCUGGCCUCUUCUUUUCGAGGGGCAAAUGUGCACUCCCUGAACAAUUCACAAUUUCCAUCACACCCUUGUGCACAUCUUGUAGGCGCCCACUCACCUCUCUUGGUCGGGGCGUCCUAUGUAUUCCUUCACCUCACACUUUAUUGAAUGGUGCUCUUGAACGCAUCUCAUGGAUUAUUUGUAAAAAAAGUAAUCACAGAAA
rnacentral:misc_RNA from 1 species